AUGACAUCUCCUUAAUCGGAGAGUUCCCUUCGGGGACAUUGGUGACAGGUGGUGCAUGGUUGUCGUCAGCUCGUGUCGUGAGAUGUUGGGUUAAGUCCCGCAACGAGCGCAACCCUUGUCUUUAGUUGCCAUCAUUAAGUUGGGCACUCUAGAGAGACUGCCAGGGAUAACCUGGAGGAAGGUGGGGAUGACGUCAAAUCAUCAUGCCCCUUAUGCUUAGGGCUACACACGUGCUACAAUGGGUAGUACAGAGGGUUGCCAAGCCGUAAGGUGGAGCUAAUCCCUUAAAGCUACUCUCAGUUCGGAUUGUAGGCUGAAACUCGCCUACAUGAAGCUGGAGUUACUAGUAAUCGCAGAUCAGAAUGCUGCGGUGAAUGCGUUCCCGGGUCUUGUACACACCGCCCGUCACACCACGGGAGUUGGAGACGCCCGAAGCCGA
rnacentral:rRNA from 1 species